UACGAAGGGGGCUAGCGUUGCUCGGAAUCACUGGGCGUAAAGCGCACGUAGGCGGACUCUUAAGUCGGUGGUGAAAUCCUGGAGCUCAACUCCAGAACUGCCUUCGAUACUGAGAGUCUCGAGUCCGAGAGAGGUGAGUGGAACUCCGAAGUGUAGAGGUGAAAUUCGUAGAUAUCGGAAGAACACCAGUGGCGAAGGCGGCUCACUGGCCCGGUACUGACGCUGAGGUGCGAAAGCGUGGGGAGCAAACAGG
rnacentral:rRNA from 1 species